GUGAAGACUACAGGAGAGAGGCUGUUAACCUAAUAUUAACAUUAAGGUUGGCAUAUCCCGCCGAAGAAGUAAAUCUUUCAGGUGUAUCACUCUGCUUUUGAGUAUACGAGGACUGUAGUUGGAGG
rnacentral:ncRNA from 1 species